GGCCGUGUAGAUCAGUGGAUAGAUCGUCUGCCUCCGGUUAAGCAGAAGGUCGUAGGUUCAAACCCUACCACGGUC